AAAUGAUGUGAAACAUCUUUUUAAGAUGUUCUUUUCUCCUGCAGGAAACUGCUGUGGAGAGAAACCUUUUACCUAGGGGCCAGCCAUAUCUUGUACAACUUCAAAGAGGUGAUGUUUAAAAUGUAAAGUUGUGAAUAAAAUAUAGUUAAGUGCGACAUUGUCCUCUGCUGUUUGUGUGGGUGUGCAGUUUUCUUUUUUAAGGAAUAUAGUCAGGCAGACUUUGUAACAUUCAUGGGAGCUCUUCGUGUGUGGGAAGGACAUGGGGUGGGUUUGAAGAAAAGAUUGAGGAGAAAGCGAGAUUAAAAUAAUAGAAUCUUAAAGUAGAUGGGCUGCAUUUUUAAGUUUAAGUUUUGAUGUCUGGUUUAAAGAUCAUUAGAUGUAAGAUACGAGCUUCGAUGAUAAGUAUGAAGAGCAUGAAACACGGAUGGACAAAUACUUGACUAUGUUUGUUACGACACAUGCCAACAAUACUCCAGGUAGAAAUGCAGUUUGUCUGCAGUGUUGUGGGAUACGGUCCCGCUGAUAUUUGUUUCCCGUCGGCCCGUUAUGCGGUGACGCUCACACUCCCUACAGCGACUGAGGGAUUCAGAGCCCUUGUCUCAAACGGACAAAAUUGAUAUUUCAUCGAAGAAUUUGCACAGGCGCCAUCAUUAAAUGAUUCCCGCUUCAGACUAUUGAUGAGGUGCGGAGUAGCUUUUCUAGUACGUUAAUUUAACAGUGCAGGUUAUUUAUGAAACCAAUGUGACCAUUUUAUCUUGGCUAGUUUACAGAAAGCGGGGCAUAUUAGACCAGAACAAAUAUUUUUUUAUGCACGCUUUUUGGGGGAGAAAUCAGUUUUCGUCCUUAGCCUGCUUGCUUUAGCAGACAUGUCCCUUUAAACGAGAGAA